UACGAAGGGGGCUAGCGUUGCUCGGAAUCACUGGGCGUAAAGGGCGCGUAGGCGGGUCAUUAAGUUUGUUGUUAAAUCCUCUGGCUUAACCAGAGACAAGCAAUAAAAACUGGUAACCUAGAGCGUGAGAGAGAGAAGUGGAAUUCCCGGAGUAGCGGUAAAAUGCGUAGAUCUCGGGAGGAACACCAAUGGCGAAGGCUGCUUCUUGGCUCAUUGCUGACGCUGAGGCGCGAAAGCGUGGGGAGCAAACAGG
rnacentral:rRNA from 1 species